CCUACGGGGGGCAGCAGUGAGGAAUAUUGGUCAAUGGACGAGAGUCUGAACCAGCCAAGCCGCGUGAAGGAUGACGGCUCUAUGGGUUGUAAACUUCUUUUAUAUGGGAGUAAAGUUCAGUAUGUAUAUUGUUCUGAACGUAUCAUACGAAUAAGGAUCGGCUAACUCCGUGCCAGCAGCCGCGGUAAUACGGAGGAUCCGAGCGUUAUCCGGAUUUAUUGGGUUUAAAGGGUGCGUAGGCGGACGCUUAAGUUAGAGGUGAAAGUCUGAGGCUCAACCGUAAAAUUGCAUUUGAUACUGGUUGUCUAGAGUGUAGCAGAGGUAGGCGGAAUUCAUGGUGUAGCGGUGAAAUGCUUAGAGAUCACGAAGAACACCGAUUGCGAAGGCAGCUUACUGGACUAUUACUGACGCUGAUGCACGAAAGUGUGGGUAGCAAACAGGAUUAGAUACCCGGGUAGUC
rnacentral:rRNA from 1 species